UACCGAGUAGUUCAAUGGCAGAACGGCAGACUCUGACUCUGCAUGUUGUAAGUUCGAAUCUUACCCCGGUAG
rnacentral:tRNA from 1 species